UCAUUUCUAUACUAUUCGCCGCCUUGAAACCCCGAUCUAUUCUGAAAUGCUCUCAAAACCUAACCCUAAUAACCUCACUGACCCUCAUCCAUGGCUAUCUCCUAUUAUUUCUCACCACCUAUCAGGCCUCCAAUGGCCUCCCUUACAUUAAUCUUGCCAUCUCCAGGGCCCUCCAGGGACUAGGGCUAGUUAGGUUGCAUCUAUGGUUCCUCACUUGCCUGUUUCAGUCCAUUCCGGUGUGAUUCCGAGUAAGAUCGUCCUAUAUUGACCAUGAUCUAUGCUUUUCUAAGCAGAUUUCUUCACCUCUGUAUGGUUCUCUUCGAAACCCUAAUUUCUUUUCUAAACCUUUGAGAUCUUUACAGAUCUAAGAUGAUUUGGGUUUAUUUCAUGUGAGUUUUACAAUAACCUUCGUGUUCUUUACAAGAAUCGUAUGAUUUUCAAGUGGUUUUCAUUUUUUCCUAAACUAGGGUUUCCAGAAUUUCUUUUUACAAAUUGUUUGAUAGCUUUUUGUGUUUAAUAUUUUGCUUCUCAUAUAUUUUCUUUGAUUUUAUGAGGUUUCCUAC
rnacentral:lncRNA from 1 species